UGCAUGUAAAGGAAAAUCCUGGUUCCCUCAAUGCCAGUGCUCUGUUUGGAUGCCAGCAGGAGACUUGCAUAUGUCAGAUUUAGGAUGAUAAAUGGCCUGCUGUGCCAGCCUCAGAAAUUGCCAAGUUCAGGGAUCUUGAGCUGAGGGCAAACGAAUCCAGGCACGAAUGAGCCCUCCUGUGAUACGUGAAGUGGUGGUCCUAUGGCUAGCAGAGAUACCUGGCUGUGUGCAAGAGCCAGCAGACUACGCAAGAGCACAGCCCACAGCGACUCUGUGUUUUGCACAUAUAUGUGAUCUACUGCAGUUGUCUUACUGACCUACAUCUCUCACUGACAUCCUAUGCCAUUACAACUCCAACAGGCUUCAGUUCCAGCUGGAGAAGACUUCUUCCUUAUUGGAGUGGCCUGGAGGAUGCUAGCAUCCACUGCUGCAGCUCCUGCUGAAUUCAACAGUUUUGCCAUUGGCUGUAACAAGAGUAGGACUGUGCUUUCUGUCUGCACGCUCCUAAAAGGGUGUUCCAAGACAUAUUUAGCCUUAUGAAUGUCUUAC
rnacentral:lncRNA from 1 species